rnacentral:rRNA from 1 species
UACGAAGGGGGCUAGCGUUGUUCGGAAUCACUGGGCGUAAAGCGCACGUAGGCGGAUCGUUAAGUCGGGGGUGAAAUCCCGAGGCUCAACCUCGGAACUGCCUUCGAUACUGGCGAUCUUUGAGUCCGGGAGAGGUGAGUGGAACUCCGAGUGUAGAGGUGAAAUUCGUAGAUAUUCGGAAGAACACCAGUGGCGAAGGCGGCUCACUGGCCCGGUACUGACGCUGAGGUGCGAAAGCGUGGGGAGCAAACA